CUUGGAUGAAAAAUUUAGUCAGCCCUGAAUCACCAAUGCUAAUUAAAACCAGGGAAAGGAAGGAAAAUGAAAGACGUUUACAAUGCCCAAAUCUCGGGGUAGCUGAUCUCCUCCUUCACCAAAGCAUCAAUACAGCAGCCAUGAGCUGCUCAGCCUGGCAUUUCUGCCUGUGUCAUUGAGCAAAGAAAUGUCCCCCAUGCAAAAAUAUCCUUGAGCAUAUAAAGCAAAGGAAUCGGCUGUGUGCAGUGGUUAAAUCAAUUCUGGAAUCAUUAGGAGAGGAUUUACCCAUAAAGAUGAAAUGUCAAACGUCUAAACUUUCAAUCAUGCAAGCACCAAGGAAAGACCAUGUGAGGACGUAAGGAGAAGACAGCUGCAAACUAGGAAGAGACCCCUCACCAGAUCUGCUGGCAUCUUGAUCUUGGACUUCCCAGACUCCAGAACUGCAAGAAGUAAUGAUCUAUUAAUUAAGUCACCCAGUCUAUAAAAUUUUGUUGUAGCAGUCUGUCUUAGCAGGCUAAAAUAGGGGCCCUGCAAAUUAUGCUCCCUUGCAUUCCUUGUUUCUCUACAUCUAAUUGUAAAUUGCCAGAAAACCAGGGCCAUGGAACUCAGAGCGGAACUUGGAAUAGAUGAUGGUAAAUAUGACAGCUGGGAGUGCUGUAUUACAGCAAACAGGGAAGUCUGUUUGUUACAUGAAAAGACAAGUAAUAAAAUGGUGAAAUGGAAAUAAUCUGUCUUCUGUACUCUUUUUCCAAGGGCCAAUGUUCCCCGAAUCUUUCUUUCACUGCAUGCACUACUGUGCUUUGUAAUUACCCAACUCUACAUCUGUGUCCCCAAAUAAGCCACAUAGUCCUUGGAAUCAUGGAUGCAUCUUAUUCAUCUUUUCUAUCUCCAAGGCCAUGUACAGUACAUAACAAAGACUCCAUAAAUAUUUGAUUAAUUGUUUAAUUAAUUAAUGCUUAAUUCUUAGUAGAAUUGGGAAAGAAUGAUGGCUUGGAUUACUUACCUAAUAUCUCUCAUGUGAAACUCUAGACUAAAAUUGCAAAUCGAUUUCAUUACUUUUUUAUUAGUAAUCAUAGCUUUUGGAAUAAUU
rnacentral:lncRNA from 10 species